AGUCAACAACACAAAAGCAUGAGAUGCUCUGCAGCAACAGUUCUCCAGGGCUGAGAUCAAGUCCUGUCUCCUCUCUAAUCCAACGCCCGUCAUUCGCACUGACAGAAGUGAACCUUCAGAAUCCAAGAGUCAUUCGCCAGAAAUGUUACAAGAGCAAAGUGUGCGUUUUAUUAUCCCCCAGAAGGUGCAUGCGGGUGCUGGGGAUAAAACCACGCAGCAGAGCCCCUGCUUGGUGUGCACAAGUCCCCGGGCUCAGGCUCCAGGGAAGAAAUGGGGUGUGGGGACAGAAUUUUCUGUUUCUCUGUCUAACAGUAAUUCUGCCUGUCUGCCCCAAGUGAAUGAAGGUAGGAGUCUCUCACUCUGAAAACAAACAAGAACCUUUCCAGAGAGUUUGAUCAUCUUUUAAGAUUCGGUCCACACCAUCAUCCGCCCAUUUUCAGGAGAAGAAAAGUAAAUAAAGGAGGGAUACUUCAGUAAGUGCCUCGCUCAGCUCUGAGGGAGACUGGCGCUCUGCUCAUUUUCCUCUGCUCAGGUUCCGCCCCACCCACUGAUGAGCUGGGAAGCCUCCUGUCUCAGUUAGGUUCUCCUGGAAGCCAUGAACACGCUGGUGUCUUUGCACGUUCUUUCUCUCCUCCCUGACUCCGUCUAAGCAGAUUGAAAACUUAGUUUCUGAGCCCUGAAGCAAACAGAGAAGAGCAGCCAGCCUCCCGCGGAAGCUCUUCACAGUCUCCCAGGGAUUUCCAGUCAUGGCCAACAUCUUUGUUACAGGACGGAAUCCAGCAACCACUCGCAACCUUAGCAUAAAGCAGUAGCCAAGUCUUACGGGCUAGUUACGAAUAUCAGAUGUGCGGUGACUAUCCACGGGCUUAGAGUGAGUUGGGCAUAUUUAAGUUAUGAAAGAUGUGUUUAUUUCCCCUGGACCCCAAAUAAAUGUCAGCGACAGCUCCAA
rnacentral:lncRNA from 1 species